rnacentral:rRNA from 1 species
GAUGAACGCUGGCGGCGCGCCUAAUACAUGCAAGUCGAGCGAACGGACGAGAAGCUUGCUUCUCUGAUGUUAGCGGCGGACGGGUGAGUAACACGUGGAUAACCUACCUAUAAGACUGGGAUAACUUCGGGAAACCGGAGCUAAUACCGGAUGAUAUUUUGAACCGCAUGGUUCAAAAGUGAAAGACGGUCUUGCUGUCACUUAUAGAUGGAUCCGCGCUGCAUUAGCUAGUUGGUAAGGUAACGGCUUACCAAGGCAACGAUGCAUAGCCGACCUGAGAGGGUGAUCGGGCACACUGGAACUGAGACACGGUCCAGACUCCUACGGGAGGCAGCAGUAGGGAAUCUUGCGCAAUGGGCGAAAGCCUGACGGAGCAACGCCGCGUGAGUGAUGAAGGUCUUCGGAUCGUAAAACUCUGUUAUUAGGGAAGAACAUAUGUGUAAGUAACUGUGCACAUCUUGACGGUACCUAAUCAGAAAGCCACGGCUAACUACGUG